UCUCUAAAAAUUUCAAGUCCUAACUCUCUCUGCCUUCUCUCUAAAUUUUUAGCUCUUUGAACCUUUCAAUCUUGAGUUGGAGGAUGCUCAAACGUUCAUCUCACCGAAUGCUUCCUUUUGAACCGAUCGCAUUUUCGAUUGGACCGGGUUUGGUUGAGUUCUCAUUUGGUGAGACAGGAGAGUUCCUGUGAGCUUGGUAAUUCGACUUUGAGAUGUGGUUGAGGAAAUACCUCUAGAGCAAGAGCUGGAGGAGAAUGAUGCUGCUGCACAGUCUGCGUAUGAUUUAUAUAUCUAAACUCUUAGAUGUUAAAUACUCAAAACUGUCUGAGUUUAAAACUUUAUAUUAUAUUUUGGAUGACUGUAAUUUCGUACUUAAUUGCAAGUCAUACUCUAACUCUUCUCUUUAUUUGGAUGUAGUUAUUAUA